rnacentral:rRNA from 1 species
AUGAACGCUAGCGGGAGGCCUAACACAUGCAAGCCGAGCGGUAUAAUUCUUUCGGGAAUUAGAGAGCGGCGCACGGGUGCGGAACACGUGUGCAACCUGCCUUUAUCUGGGGGAUAGCCUUCCGAAAGGGAGAUUAAUACCCCAUAAUAUAUUGACUGGCAUCAGUUAAUAUUGAAAACUCCGGUGGCUAGAGAUGGGCACGCGCAAGAUUAGAUAGUUGGUGAGGUAACGGCUCACCAAGUCAGUGAUCUUUAGGGGGCCUGAGAGGGUGAUCCCCCACACUGGUACUGAGACACGGACCAGACUCCUACGGGAGGCAGCAGUGAGGAAUAUUGGACAAUGGGUGAGAGCCUGAUCCAGCCAUCCCGCGUGAAGGACGACGGCCCUAUGGGUUGUAAACUUCUUUUGUACAGGGAUAAACCUAGAUACGUGUAUCUAGCUGAAGGUACUGUACGAAUAAGCACCGGCUAGCUCCGUGCCAGCCGCCGCGGUAAAAC